AUACGGAGGAUGCGAGCGUUAUCCGGAUUUAUUGGGUUUAAAGGGUGCGUAGGUGGUAAUUUAAGUCAGCGGUGAAAGUUUGUGGCUCAACCAUAAAAUUGCCGUUGAAACUGGGUUACUUGAGUGUGUUUGAGGUAGGCGGAAUGCGUGGUGUAGCGGUGAAAUGCAUAGAUAUCACGCAGAACUCCAAUUGCGAAGGCAGCUUACUAAACCAUAACUGACACUGAAGCACGAAAGCGUGGGUAUCAAACAGGAUUAGAUACCCUGGUAGUCCACGCAGUAAACGAUGAUUACUAGGAGUUUGCGAUACACGGUAAGCUCUACAGCGAAAGCGUUAAGUAAUCCACCUGGGAGUACGCCGGCAACGGUGAAACUUAAAGGAAUUGACGGGG
rnacentral:rRNA from 1 species